rnacentral:rRNA from 1 species
CCUACGGGAGGCAGCAGUGGGGAAUAUUGCACAAUGGGGGAAACCCUGAUGCAGCGACGCCGCGUGAGUGAAGAAGUAUUUCGGUACGUAAAGCUCUAUCAGCAGGGAAGAAAAUGACGGUACCUGACUAAGAAGCCCCGGCUAACUACGUGCCAGCAGCCGCGGUAAUACGUAGGGGGCAAGCGUUAUCCGGAUUUACUGGGUGUACAGGGCGCGUAGACGGCAGCGCAAGUCUGGAGUGAAAUCCCAUGGCUUAACCAUGGAACUGCUUUGGAAACUGUGCAGCUAGAGUGCAGGAGAGGUAAGCGGAAUUCCUAGGGUAGCGGUGAAAUGCGUAGAUAUUAGGAGGAACACCAGUGGCGAAGGCGGCUUACUGGACUGUAACUGACGUUGAGGCUCGAAAGCGUGGGGAGCAAACAGGAUUAGAUACCCCUGUAGUC